GGGGCUGAUUCUGGAUUCGACGGGAUUCACGAACUCUUAGGUGCAUGCCGAGGUGAGGUAGGCCUCGUAAAAAAGCCUCAAUUAAAUAGUCCUAAUAAGCAGUAGAUAGCUCUUCCCCUCACGCAUGCCUGUAAGCUGAGACUCUGGAAGAUCACCCCUAACAGGAUCGCGUCGCGUCUUCGCCUGGAGACAAAACGUUAAAACCAAUCAGGCUCGCCCGACGAUAGCCUGCCAGCUGGCGCUCAUAGGGUUAACUAAAUAACUGGCUAAGCAUGUAGUACCGACGAUGUAGGUUUUUCGGACGCGGGUUCAACUCCCGCCAGCUCCACCA
rnacentral:tmRNA from 1 species